rnacentral:rRNA from 1 species
AGAGUUUGAUCCUGGCUCAGGACGAACGCUGACGGUGUGCUUUAGACAUGCAAGUCGAACGAGAAAGCCCUUCGGGGUGAGUACAGUGGCGGACGGGUGAGUAACACGUGGGUAACCUGCCCCUCGCAGGGGGAUAACCGGGGGAAACCCCGGCUAAUACCCCGUACGCUUGCUGGGUCGCAUGGCCCGGCAAGGAAACGGUAGCUUCGGCCAUCCGGCGAGGGAUGGGCCCGCGGUGCAUUAGCUAGUUGGUGGGGUAACGGCCUACCAAGGCGACGAUGCAUAGCUGGUCUGAGAGGACGAUCAGCCACACUGGGACUGAGACACGGCCCAGACUCCUACGGGAGGCAGCAGUCGGGAAUCUUGCGCAAUGGGCGAAAGCCUGACGCAGCAACACCGUGUGAGCGACGAAGGCCUUCGGGUCGUAAAGCUCUGUUGUUGGGGACGAAGGGUUAGGGGUUAAUAGCCCCGAGCCUGACGGUACCCUUCGAGGAAGCCCCGGCUAACUACGUGCCAGCAGCCGCGGUAAUACGUAGGGGGCGAGCGUUGUCCGGAAUUAUUGGGCGUAAAGAGCGUGUAGGCGGCCCGGUAAGUCCGCCGUGAAAGCUUGGGGCUCAACCCCAAGUUUGCGGUGGAUACUGUCGGGCUAGAGGGUGGUAGAGGCGAGUGGAAUUCCCGGUGUAGCGGUGAAAUGCGCAGAUAUCGGGAGGAACACCAGUAGCGAAGGCGGCUCGCUGGGCCAUACCUGACGCUGAGACGCGAAAGCGUGGGGAGCGAACAGGAUUAGAUACCCCGGUAGUCC